CCUUUGGGUGGGAUGCUGGGUGUGGGAUUGGAGUUGUUGGGCUCCUUGCUUUGGGUUCCUGCUCAGUGUCUGUAGCACUAGGAAAAGCUCCCUUUGCUUCCAAGGCCACAUCUGAGUCCUUGUGACUCUGCUCACCUUUCAAUGGGGAAAAGGAACCACCAGUGCGAGCUGGCACGCGGCAGGGGCAGACCUGUGUGAAGAGUGAUGAACUAUAUGGAUGCUCAGAAGGCUCCGGAUCAGGCUUUGGGCUUGUCCUGCGUGAAGAAAAGCCCAUCUUGCCAUGCUCUGCUUGUCCUGGGCGCAGCCUCUGCUGCCCCAGUCCCCAUCCCUGCUACACCACCACCUCUGAGAGUCAAGAGUUGGGAGCUGUGGUUGAAAAGGAAGGAACAGGACCUGUUACUGCAAACUGCUGGCUAGGAGGAGGAUGCUGCAGCGGGGUUACAAGCAGGAUGGCUUCGUGCACUGCACCGUGGCAGCACCAGCUGCCUUUUCCUGAUGGCACCAGGUACCCGGGGCUCCAGAGCCAACUGCAUUUGCCCAUCCUAUUGCCAGUGAUUAAUUCCAUCAAAGAUGCUUUUUCUGUGCUCACUACAACUGUGUCCUGUCAGCCUCAGGUACUGGGCACUUGCUGACCUGUCUGCUGGCUCUGUCUUUGCCUUCCCAUCCCAGAGUCAGCAGGGUGAGCUGCUCGUCCUGGCAGCAUCCCAUUGCUGCCCAUUGUGAGGCAGACAGACAGAGCAGCAGCAGGAACCAAUUGCUCUAAACAGAUUUACCAGCUAGAAAGUUCCUUGCAAGAAAAAUAGAGCAGUGAGGGGCACAUGGUCCCGAGGAAGAAACAGGCUUAACUCCCCUGAGCCCUCCCUGCCCUGACAUGGCCCGGGUUUCUAAGCAGAUCAGAGUAAAAACCUCCUGUAGCUGGGUAAUUCCGCCUCUUUCCGAUAAGCCGGUAACCCCAUUAAUAGAGAGUCUGGCAUGGAGGGAGCUGUGCUGGGAAAGCGCUGCACCUCACCCUACACAGCAGAUUAAAAAGGACUUAAUCACAGAGCAGCCACAAAGUGCACUACGUGGCAUUAUUCCUCUGAAAUAAAAUUUUAUACACAGCCUAUCUGAGAGCGGCACAAAAUAAAUACUUUUAAAAUCUA